rnacentral:rRNA from 1 species
AUUGAACGCUAGCGGCAUGCUUAACACAUGCAAGUCGAACGGUAACAGGCCUAGCUUGCUAGGCGCUGACGAGUGGCGGACGGGUGAGUAACGCGUAGGAAUCUACCUUGUAGAGGGGAAUAACCUGGGGAAACUCAGGCUAAUACCGCAUAAGCCCUAAGGGGGAAAGCAGGGGACUGUAACAGGCCUUGCACUUUGAGAUGAGCCUACGUCGGAUUAGCUAGUUGGUAGGGUAAAGGCCUACCAAGGCGAAGAUCCGUAGCUGGUCUGAGAGGACGACCAGCCACACUGGGACUGAGACACGGCCCAGACUCCUACGGGAGGCAGCAGUGGGGAAUAUUGGACAAUGGGCGCAAGCCUGAUCCAGCAAUGCCGCGUGUGAGAAGAAGGCCUGCGGGUUGUAAAGCACUUUCAGUGGGGAGGAACGUUUUUAGCACUAAUACUGCUAAGAGGUGACGCUACCCAAAGAAGAAGCACCGGCUAACUCUGUGCCAGCAGCCGCCGUAA